rnacentral:rRNA from 1 species
AUUGAACGCUGGCGGCAGGCUUAACACAUGCAAGUCGAACGAGUGGCGGACGGGUGAGUAAUGCUUGGGAAUCUAGCUUAUGGAGGGGGAUAACUACGGGAAACUGUAGCUAAUACCGCGUACCAUAGGAUGAGCCCACGUGGGCUUAGGUAGUUGGUGAGGUAAAGGCUCACCAAGCCGACGAUCUCUAGCUGGUCUGAGAGGAUGACCAGGCAAGUGGGGACUGAGACACGGCCCAGACUCCUACGGGAGGGAGCAGUGGGGAAACGUCCGCAAUGGACGAAAGUUGACGGAGCAAAUCCGCGUGAGUGAUGACGGACUUCGGGUUGUAAAGCUCUGUUAAUCGGGACGCGGUACCGGAAUAGAAAACCACGGCUAACUACGUGCCAGCCGCCGCGGUAAUUC